CAGCUAGAAAUGAAGUUCUUUGUAUACACAUUCGUUGGAUUACUUGUAACUCCCGUCGUGUCGUACGCAAUAGCAAUCUACUUUUCCACGCUAUCCGCGCCGUGAUCGGCCACAAUAUUUAAAUUUUUUUAGGAUAUACACUAUGUCUACUCCAGUUACUGGUACCGUUAAAUGGUUCAACGAAACUAAAGGCUUCGGCUUCAUCAAACAAGAAAACGGUCCUGACGUUUUUGCUCACUUCAGCGCAAUCCAAGGUGACGGUUUCCGCACUCUUGCUGAAGGUCAAAAAGUUGAGUUCGUAAUCACUCAAGGUCAAAAAGGUCCUCAAGCAGAAAGCAUCAAAGUUCUGUAAUAGACUUUCCGAAUUUUAAUAGCCAGCUUU
rnacentral:sRNA from 1 species